rnacentral:rRNA from 1 species
ACAUGUCUUUUUGGUUAUUUAAUAUAAAGUCUGACCUGCCCACUGAAUAUGGUUUUAAAGGGCCGCAGUAUUUUGACUGUGCAAAGGUAGCAUAAUCAUUAGUCUUUUAAUUGAAGGCUGGUAUGAAUGGUUGGAUGAGGUACAAGCUGUGUCAUAAAAAUUAAUAUUUGAAUUUACCUUUUUAGUCAAAAGGCUAAAAUUUUAUUAAAAGACGAGAAGACCCUAUAGAGCUUUAUAUAAUUAAUAUUUAGAUUAUUAAUAUUUUUUAAAUUUAAUUAUUUUAUUAUAUUUUGUUGGGGUGACAAUAAAAUUUAUAAAACUUUUAUUAUUAUUAUUCAUUAAUUUAUGUUUAAAUGAUCCAAUUUUAUUGAUUAUAAAUUUAAGUUACCUUAGGGAUAACAGCGUAAUUUUUUUUGAGAGUUCUUAUCGACAAAAAAGAUUGCGACCUCGAUGUUGGAUUAAGAGUAAUUUUGGGUGUAGAAGUUCAAAAUUUAAGUCUGUUCGACUUUUAAAUU